CUUUGCAAUUUGAAUCCACCAGAGUGAACGCGGCAGAGUAAGACUGCCAAAUCAGUUUGCUACGCACGUAGACGCCGGCAUGGAAGGGCUUCGGGACCGGGGUUCAAUUCCCCGCGCCUCCACUA
rnacentral:tmRNA from 1 species